AGUGAACGCUGGCGGUAGGCCUAACACAUGCCAGUCGAACGGCAGCACAGUAAGAGCUUGCUCUUACGGGUGGCGAGUGGCGGACGGGUGAGGAAUACAUCGGAAUCUACUUUUUCGUGGGGGAUAACGUAGGGAAACUUACGCUAAUACCGCAUACGACCUACGGGUGAAAGCAGGGGAUCUUCUGACCUUGCGCGAUUGAAUGAGCCGAUGUCGGAUUAGCUAGUUGGCGGGGUAAAGGCCCACCAAGGCGACGAUCCGUAGCUGGUCUGAGAGGAGGAUCGGCCACACUGGAACUGAGACACGGUCCAGACUCCUACGGGAGGCAGCAGUGGGGAAUAUUGGACAAUGGGCGCAAGCCUGAUCCAGCCAUACCGCGUGGGUGAAGAAGGCCUUCGGGUUGUAAAGCCCUUUUGUUGGGAAAGAAAAGCAGCAGGUUAAUACCCCGCUGUUCUGACGGUACCCAAAGAAUAAGCACCGGCUAACUUCGUG
rnacentral:rRNA from 1 species